UAGUAGUACAUUUACAACUAAAAUGAAAAAUAAGUCUAAAAGUACAUGCUUUAGUUAAUUUAUAGAUUUUAUAAUAUUACAAUAAAUUUUAAUAAUUUUAUAGAAACACUGUAAUUUAUUGUUCUAAUUUAUUGUCUACUUACAAUCUAAGUAGACAAGACACGCUGUUUCUCAAGGUUUUGUAUUGGAAUAUCUUGUGUGAACUAUUUUGACUCUCUACAGCCAUAUAAUAUUGAUAGAAAAUACACACUCUUUUUUUUGCCUUUGUGAAGCCUGCUUCUGCUUCUAUGUAUACAUAUUUGUAUAUCAGUGAAUACAUGCCAUGCUAGACAGGUUAUCAGGGAUUGUUCAGAUAAGCAAUUGAUUUCUGCACCAAAGGCACUUAGAUACUAAGUUAUCAUGGACACCAAAGAAAACCCUAAAAUAAAUACACAGAAAAGUUCUACACAUCUGUCUUACUCUGACAUAUAUGUAUACUUUCCUCCUGCAAAUCCUGGUAAUCAAUGGUGUCCUAAGAAGGGCAUAUUUUGUACCCAGUUCAACUCUGAAAGAUAAGUGGAGACUUUGAAAUCUCACGGAACUUCUACUAUGCUUAUUUUCCAUUCUUCUUAACAGGCCAGUAACCCAGGGGUCCCAUGGGUAGAACUGAACUGGUCACAUAAAGUCUUCUUGGUUGUGCUAUUCCACUGCUACCUUUGUGACAGUCUAGGUGGUAUGUGAAUAGCCAAAAAGCACAUCAAGUGCUACAUAACAAUGCAACUGCUAUUGCUUUAUUUUAGAAACUAACCUCUUGGAGAUGAUAACUCAAUGGAAGCUAUUAUUGCAAUCUCUCUCAAGCAGCAAGAGACAACAAGCCAGGAUAAUCACUCCCACUUAUGGCUCAAUACAGGUGCUGACAGAGGUAUCACUAAGUUCCAGGAAAGCACUUUUGAAGAUAAUCCUAAACUCCAGGGAGAAGUGUCAUCCAUAUUUGAUGUGUGCAAAGGCUGAAAUACCAUUUUAUCCAAUAACUGAAGUUUUACCUCUAUGCAUUUUGUGGAAAGCUGCAUCUGCUAUAUGCUCCCUCUUGGCAGCCUGGCACCCUGAAGAGUUGAAAUGCCAUCAUGUGGCUUUUGACAGGUACAGUAGGAGACACUUCUAGCUCAGUUAUGGUUUCUAUAGAAUCCUCACACAAAUAUACCAUGGCUGGGAGAAACCAGUAAGCUGUGGUGUGAUGAGUCUUAGAGGGGAUAUUAAACAGCAAAUUAGAAAUGGGUUUACAAUAUUAUGUGGCAGACACAAAGGC
rnacentral:lncRNA from 1 species